rnacentral:lncRNA from 1 species
CUUGCCAAGAGCUCGCGAGCACCCUGCGUGGCACACUGGUUGGAGUUCCUGCACGAAGUGGCGGGGGUGGAGUGAGGAGGGAGGGGUGGGCGGCGGUGCACGCCGCCGACUGCUGGCGGUGAGCACAAGUUCAGUGCUCAACUUCCCGCUCUUAACGAGACCCGGGAUCCCUUUGGAGAGGCCCUCGGGAGCUGGCGACAGGGCUGGGAGUGGCGUGGGUGGAUUAGCAAGAGGCUGCCUGGCUGACCCCAGCUCUCAGAAGGGCUCUCAGGGUGACCUGCUACGACUAUUGGGAGGACAAAUCCUGGAAGUGGAAAUGCCAGGCCAAAUUACCUGCUCACUGAGGCUCCAAAGGAAUGACCAUGAGGCUCCAACUCUCACAGCCUCCUGCAAGCCAUCCUGCUUCAAGUCCUCACUGUGCUGAUGGCUGCCUGUGUACGAGACAGGGACAGUCUCUUAACCUCACUGUGCCUCAGUUUCCUCAUGUGAAAGAUGGGGAUAAGAAUAGUGCUUGACUCAAGGGUUGGUACCUCAGUCACGAACCUUAAGAUGUGUGAGGAAAACGUAUUACUUUUUCUCUCCUAUGGCAUCUAGUUUUAGACCUCUCAUUUUGUAUGAAAUCAGAUCUUAAAGAUCUAGAGUCUACUUUCCUCCGUGCGCCGUGCUCUUCAGGUUGCUGAAUUCUUCAGGAAUCCAGCAGGUUAGGUCCUGGAGUGAGAAUCACAGAAUCAGAGUCUUGGAGUUGGGAAGAGUCUUCAUAGUUACCUCAGGAGCUCUGGCCAAGGCAAGAGCCCUGCCAUCCUCUUGGCAACUGAUGAUCUGUUUCUGUGUAAACACAGCCACUGGAUGGACCUUCAGAUAUGGGAAGAAACGCCUCACUCCCCUGUAUGCAGGGCCAGGGGUAGAGGGAGACAUCUUCUAGAUCUGCGUCUCUGUCCUCCUUCGCCUCACCAACCAACGCUCCCCCUGGCAGAGUCCACACUGUCUGACUGUGUCACCCUUUCAAGUCCCCCUCAUACUCACGGCUGGAAGCUUCUCCAAGCAGCGCCAGGAGAAAUCCCAUCUCAUGACUGCAUGUUCCCCAACACCCACCCUGAGGACUUGGUCAUACUUUGGCCUCACUUUUCUCAAAAUUGCCUCAUCCCGAACUCUCAAGCCCUGAAAUCCACCUCUCUAAUGACAGCUCCUCCCUGAGCUGCCCCUUGUCGUUGUCAUCUGGUUUACCUUCCCCUGUCUUCCAAGUCCUGGCCCCUGGGCGGUCAGCUCACUGUCAGAUUUUCUUGCCAAUCUACCACCUACCCUGGACUUCCUGGUUAACUGUGCACAGUGAUACCUUCACAGCAUCCUCAAGUCUUGUCUCUGUUAGUUCUGUUUUACUCUUACCUGGGUCUGGGAUUUGGCUUGCUGGGGGAAAAAGGCCUUCAUCAUUCACUCAGCUGUUCAACUACUCAGCUGUGUUAGGCACUGUUCUAGGUCCUGGGGAUGCAAAAAUGCAAUAAAGAGCAAUGCAAAAAUGCAGUGCAGGGUGAUGUGCAGAUAUCACAUGUGGUUGCACAGGGGUGUGGCAGAGACAGCUGAUGGCUCACAGCAACCAUUCUUCCUUUUCCUUUGAGUUUUGGCACUUCUUAAAGCCUGCAUAUCCCAGACCCACUUGCAGCUAGCAUGCGAAUGGAACAGAAGUGGUGUAGGCAACAUUUAACCCUUAAAAGGAAGCCACCUGCCCUCCACUCUCUCUUCCUCCAUCUCCGAUGCUGGAACUCAAACAUGGUAGGGUGAGCCGGCAUCAGCCAUGCAGAUGAGGAUGUCAGAGCAACAGGGCAGACGCAACGUGGGUCUCUGAAUGAACAUGGAGGAGGAGCACUUCCCACCUGCCUUGGACCACCCGGCUACCUCUUUCUGUGCUGUUGGGUGAGAGAGAAAUAAACUUCAUUUGGUUUGAGCUGCUGUUGCUUUGUGUCUUUUCUGUUGUAGCAGCUUAGCCUGCACGCUGACACAAAAGCAGAGAUGAAUCAGCCGCUCAUAGAGGGUAGAGGCGACGGUGAGAACAGAGUAGUGGCAGGAGCAAGAAAAGCAUCUGGAAAGAGGUAACCACAGAGAGACAGGCUCUGGGCUUUGGCACUACUUGGCAAUCUUUUUACUGAUCUUGGAGAAUUCCCUUUCUCACUGUGUGUGUUAGGAAGAGGGAGGUGUGUUCCAACAAUAGAGGGAAGAACAAUAGGUAGAAUUUGGGGGUAAGUGUACAUGAUUGUUUUAGUUUAGAGGUGUUUGCUUAGGAUCUCGAUCACAUCACCUCUUGACCGUCAAAAUUCUGAACCAAUUGAACAAUAAGACAAAAGUGUCAGCAGGAGGAGAAUUAGAACAUUUCCUUCAUUUCUGAUAAAGGCUGGGUUGAGGACAGAAGUGAGUGAAAGAGCCACAUGGUCUUUUAAUACUGGGCCAUAGAGUUAGACUGACUUAUCAUCAGGCUGCAGAGGACCGAGAACAUCCUGUGUGGCAGAGAGUGGGCCCCGGGGAGCAGGGAAUCAGUCACACUGCCUGUGGGCAGCCCACACCCUCGAGGAAGGAAAAAGGAGGAGGCAGAGCUACAUAUGCCAGGAUAGCCACUGGGUGCAUCACCCUGGCUCUGCGGAGAUGUGGGCUGGGGUGGGAGAACCACAGCACUGCACCAGUGGAGCUCCCUCCUGAAGGAAAGAAACUUCAGGAAGGGGGAAUGAGUGUUCCCUGCAAUGCUGACUUUGAGGCUCCUGCAGGCCACCUGGGAAGGCCUUAGGAUUCCUUCUCUCAUAAGCCCCCUAUAUGAGUCAGGACUGAGUAAUCUAUUAUGGGACAGGACCUACUCGUAUGCCCUCCCAGGCUGUGGGCUCACCAGGAGUCCUGGCAUAAGCAGGUUGAGACUGAGUUACUUCCUGGGCCCACCUGCUUGACACUGGCUUGGCACCUUGGCAGGCAUUACUUUAUUUUCUCCCAAGGCUCCCGUGGUCCUGAGGGGUCUCCCAGUCCUCUUGGAGCACCUUAAAGCUGCGUGAACCAGGCACUGGCCAGAAGGUUACCUGUGGGACUCUGGCUUUGUUCUGCCUCCCACUGCAUGCUCAGCCAUGCCCACCUCUCUCGCCAGUUAUCCCUCCCACUUCCAAGGAGGCAGGGCUGGAAGUGCCCAGGUGUCCUCAAAAUAAGCAACACAGGGCUGCGCAUGGUGACUCACACCUGUAAUCCCAGCACUUUGGCAGGCUGAGGUGGGCAGAUCACGAUAUCAGGAGACCGAGACCAUCCUGGCCAACACAGUGAAACCCCAUCUCUACUAAAAAUUCAAAAAUUAGCUGGGUGUGGUGGUGUGUGCCUGAAUCCCAGCUAUUCGGGAGGCUGAGGAAGGAGACUCACUUGAACCAGGCACUUGAACCAGGGAGUUGGAGGUUGCAGUGAGCCGAGAUUGCGCCACUGCACUCUAGCCUGGCGACAGAGUGAGACUCCAUCUAAAAAAAAAAAAAAAAAAAAAAAAAAGCAACACGGUAACCCCGCUUCCUGUCACAUUUGGUGCUCAGGGGCUCUGGCAGUGCCAAAUACCUAGGCACUCAGGGAUGGUUCUGUCUUUGAGUAUGUGUUGGGGGAGGUGACUGGAGGACUCUGAUGGCAGAGUUCUAAUGACUUAUUUAUGCAUUAAUUCAUUCACUCAUUUUUAGUUUGUACUUUCCCAUAAGUUGGGAAAAAUGGGUUUACUACUUUCCACACCAUUAUGUAGCUAUGGCAGCAAUUCAAAGAUUCUAAUGUAAUAUAACAUUUAGGGCUUAUUUAAUCCUUCUUUCCUUUAAGAAUAAGAAUUGGUGGAAUAAAAAUAUAAACUACUGGCCGGGCACAGUGGCUCAUGCCUGUAAUCCCAGCACUUUGGAAGGCUGAGGUAGCUGGAUCAUGAAGUCAAGAGAUCGAGACCAUCCUGGCCAACAUGGUGAAACCCCGUCUCUACUAAAAAUACAAAAAAUUAGCCAGGUGUGGUGGCAGGUGCCUGUAAUCCCAGCUACUUGGGAGGCUGAGGCAGGAGAAUCGCUUGAACCUGGGAGGUGGAGGUUGCAGUGAGCUAAGAUCGUGCCAUUGUACUCCAGCCUGGGCAAAAAGAGCGAAACUCCAUCUCAAAAAAAAAAAAAAAAAAAAAAAAAAAAUA